ACACAUGCAGUCGAGCGGAUGAGAAGAGCUUGCUCUUCGAUUCAGCGGCGGACGGGUGAGUAAUGCCUAGGAAUCUGCCUGGUAGUGGGGGACAACGUUUCGAAAGGAACGCUAAUACCGCAUACGUCCUACGGGAGAAAGCAGGGGACCUUCGGGCCUUGCGCUAUCAGAUGAGCCUAGGUCGGAUUAGCUAGUUGGUGGGGUAAUGGCUCACCAAGGCGACGAUCCGUAACUGGUCUGAGAGGAUGAUCAGUCACACUGGAACUGAGACACGGUCCAGACUCCUACGGGAGGCAGCAGUGGGGAAUAUUGGACAAUGGGCGAAAGCCUGAUCCAGCCAUGCCGCGUGUGUGAAGAAGGUCUUCGGAUUGUAAAGCACUUUAAGUUGGGAGGAAGGGCAGUAAGCGAAUACCUUGCUGUUUUGACGUUACCGACAGAAUAAGCACCGGCUAACUCUGUGCCAGCAGCCGCGGUAAUACAGAGGGUGCAAGCGUUAAUCGGAAUUACUGGGCGUAAAGCGCGCGUAGGUGGUUUGUUAGGUUGGAUGUGAAAGCCCCGGGCUCAACCCGGGAACUGCAUCCAAAACUGGCAAGCUAGAGUACAGUAGAGGGUGGUGGAAUUCCCUGUGUAGCGGUGAAAUGCGUAGAUAUAGGAAGGAACACCAGUGGCGAAGGCGACCACCUGGACUGAUACUGACACUGAGUGCGAAAGCGUGGGGAGCAAACAGGAUUAGAUACCCUUGGUAGUCCACGCCGUAAACGAUGUCAACUAGCCGUUGGAUCCCUUGAGAUCUUAGUGGCGCAGCUUAAACGCAUUAAGUUGACCGCUGGGGG
rnacentral:rRNA from 1 species